GAGUACCUAACCGUCUUCGUAAUUCGACAACCACCGGAAAUAUACGGAGUAGUUUGUAGUUUGACAUUCGCGAAUCAUUGACGUGCUCGUGAAUCCCAGGUGUUUCCUAUGCAGUUUUUGGUGAUUUUUAUACAUAUAUUGGUUUUGAAAUUAAUUCGUUUAUGAUUCUAACAAUUAUGGUGAAUCUUACAAAUUGCAAAAUGCGACAUCUCUACCGUUGCAUGUUUUAUAAUCUGUAGAUAUAUAUUUGUUAAUCUUUACUGAGAACUUAAUUCUUAAAUACUCGCGCGCGUUGAUAAAAUAAGGCAUUGCACAAUUAUCGUGUAUAAUUUAAAGAACAAAGAAUUAAGGUACAAUUUAAGAAACGAUGGUGUGAACUUGAUGUGAAUUGCAUAACAAAAUAUUUAAUAAAUACGUAUAAUUCCGUCGAAGGCUUGGAAGAUAGUCUACGAAAUCUGGUGAUAUUUGAUAUCGUGAAAUGAUGGAGCAGAACGUGAAUUCAAUGAACGAACAAAAAUGUAAGCUAACAACAGGGAAUAAAGAAUCUCGUAAAUCGGAUAUUACUGCAUUCUUCAGAUCUCUUUGGCAUAGAAUUGAGACGUAUGGAGAAGAAUCCAAGGGGCCAACAAAAUAUGGGGAUUGCUAUUUCUGUAAGCCUUCCUUUCUCUAUGGCACAAACGUUCUUUUAUGUAAAAUGAAGUACUAAUUUGAGGAAAAUUUCAACUAAAUCGAAGCAUGAGGGUUCUAAAAAUUACAGGGAGUGACACUAACAUGCUAAAAAUCGUUUGCAAAAUUUUAAGCUUUAACCAUUGUGUUGCUAAAAAUCCUUCCUCGAAUUUUAAUUAAAAGUGAAUCU